CACAUGACUCUCGGCAACGGAUAUCUUGGCUCUCGCAUCGAUGAAGAACGUAGCGAAAUGCGAUACCUGGUGUGAAUUGCAGAAUCCCGCGAACCAUCGAGUCUUUGAACGCAAGUUGCGCCCGAGGCCUUCUGGCCGAGGGCACGCCUGCCUGGGCGUCACGC
rnacentral:rRNA from 6 species